CCCCCGCCGCGGCGGAUGCUCAUGGUCCCGCGGCGCUGUGAGACAGACUCACGGCCGGCACUGCUGAGUCCAAUGGGUGAGGUGGGGCACUGCCCCACAACCCAAUUCAGACUACUCUCCCCCGGA
rnacentral:RNase_P_RNA from 1 species